AACAGAAGAGAUUAGACAGGAGUCCCCGUGGACUAUGAUAUUUGCUGAUGACAUUGUGAUCUGUAGCGAUAAUAGGGAACAGGUUGAGGAGACCCUGGAGAGGUAGAGAUCUGCUCUAGAGAGGAGAAGAAUGAAGGUCAGUAGGAACACCAAGACAGAAUACAUGUGUGUGAAUGAGAGGGAGGUCAGUGGAAUGGUGAGGAUGCAGGGAGUAGAGUUGGUGAAGGUGGAUGAGUUUAAAUACUUGGGAUCAACAGUACAGAGUAAAUGGGAUUGUGGAAGAGACGUGAAAAAGAGAGUGCAGGCAGGGUGGAGUGGCUGGAGAAGAGUGUCAGGAGUGAUUUGUGACAGACGGGUAUCAGCAAGAGUGAAAGGGAAGGUCUACAGGACGGUAGUGAGACCAGCUAUGUUAUAUGGUCUGGAGAUGGUGGCACUGACCAGAAAGCAGGAGACAGAGCUGGAGGUGGCAGAGUUAAAGAUGCUAAGAUUUGCAUUGGGUGUGAUGAGGAUGGAUAGGAUUAGAAAUGAGGACAUUAGAGGGUCAGCUCAGAUUGGACGGUUUGGAGACAAAGUCAGAGAGGCGAGAUUGCGUUGGUUUGGACAUGUGCAGAGGAAAGAUGCUGAGUAUAAUGAGAGAAGGGUGCUAAGGAUAGAGCUGCCAGGGAAGAGGAG